ensembl:lncRNA
GCAAGACCAGCCGUGGUGGGAAAAGAGCAGAAACACAACAGGAACUUUUUUAUCUUCUAAAAAUGAUUUAUUAAUACAAUAUGGUAUAGUACACCCCAUAGCAUAGUAUGACUGGCAGAAACCAGAGAAGGCAAAAGUAGAGAAAACACUAAACAAUGAUCCCAUUCCCACAUCUGUACGUGACUGAGUAAGCAGUACAUAAUCACAUUAAACCCUUGCUAAAAUCAUGGUCAGCAAAUUGAAUAAAAUAAAACAUACAAAUGGCAGGAAAUGCAGUUUGUCCCAUCUCCAAGAACUCUAUGAUGCCGUCCCAGGUGCCUUCACUCCAACAACUCCAUCCCAGGUGCCUUCACUGCGACAACUCCGUCCCAGGUGCCUUCACCUUCACUCCGAUAACUCCGUCCCAGGUGCCUUCACUGCGACAACUCCAUCCCAGGUGCCUUCAACUUCACUCCAACAACUCCGUCCCAGGUGCCUUCACCUUCACUCCGAUAACUCCGUCCCAGGUGCCUUCACUGCGACAACUCCGUCCCAGGUGCCUUCACUCCGACAACUCCGUCCCAGGUGCCUUCACUCCGACAACUCCGUCCCAGGUGCCUUCACUCUGACAACUCCGUAACAGGUGCCUUCACUCUGACAACUCCAUCCCAGGUGCCUUCACUCUGACAACUCCAUCCCAGGUGCCUUCACUCUGACAACUCCAUCCCAGGUGCCUUCACUCCGACAACUCCAUCCCAGAUGCCUUCACUCCGACAACUCCAUCCCAGGUGCCUUCACUCCGACAACUCCAUCCCAGGUGCCUUCACUGCGACAACUCC